AGUGUUGCGCCGUAUCCAGACCGAGAAGGAGAACAAUACGUUAAUUAGGUGGCAGAUAUAUAUUGCAAGGCCAUUUUCAAGAGAAUAUUUGAAGAGAAGAGAAACUACAUCUUGUGAGACGCUGUCAGCUCAGCUGUUCUGCCGAUGAAAUGGGGAACGGCGUCGAAUAGGCGAUACUAAUUGUCACUGGAAUCAUUGACAGCUGACAGAUCAUCUUCACAGAGAUGCGAGGAGGAAGCAAAUGGUAACCGGAUCAUUGACACCCACAGCCAGACGACUUGGGGAACUUAUUCUCGUCCUGCAGAGGUAAAAACUAACAAUGGGCGUGUGUGGAGCUGACACCAUAAGGAACAUAGUACACCUGGGUGAUGGUUCUUACCUGUUUCUGCGGAUGAAACUUUUACUGGAGAAGGUGAGGUUGUGUUGGGGGACGCAUGACAUGCCGCUCCCCAUGAUGCCACUCUGUGUUUGUGUCGCUCUUCAGUAAAAACAAAGUGCAAUGGAUAAGAGUAGUCCUGUGGU